CUUAAUAGUGCUUGCUUGACAACCCAUAAAAGAGGAUAACAAAGAAGAUUAGCAUAGCCCCUAAGUGAGGAUGAUCCAGCCAUUCAUCAGACAUUUCAAUUUUUU
rnacentral:snRNA from 1 species